rnacentral:rRNA from 1 species
UCAAGAAACUUCCACAAUGGGCGAAAGCCUGAUGGAGCGACGUCGCGUGAUGGACGAAGUGCUUCGGCACGUAAACAUCUUUUAUGUGGGAUGAAAUUAUUGACAGUACCACAUGAAUAAGGGGCUCCUAACUCUGUGCCAGCAGGAGCGGUAAUACAGAGGCCCCAAGCGUUAUCCGGAAUCACUGGGCGUAAAGGGCGCGUAGGUGGAUGCGUGAGUAAAUUGUGAAAGACCCGGGCUUAACCUGGGAAGGUCAAUUUAAACGGCGUAUCUAGAGUGGAGUAGAGGGAAGUAGAAUUUCCGGUGUAGCGGUGAAAUGCGUAGAUAUCGGAAGGAAUACCGGUGGCGAAGGCGUCUUCCUGGACUCUAACUGACACUGAGGCGCGAAAGCAUGGGGAUCAAACAGGAUUAGAUACCCGCGUAGUCCCUGAGCGGGCUGGCAAGGCGCAU